CCUACGGGAGGCAGCAGUGGGGAAUAUUGCGCAAUGGGCGAAAGCCUGACGCAGCGACGCCGCGUGAGGGAUGAAGGUCUUCGGAUCGUAAACCUCUGUCAGCAGGGAAGAACGGUCACUGUGCUAAUCAGCAGUGAAUUGACGGUACCUGCAAAGGAAGCACCGGCUAACUCCGUGCCAGCAGCCGCGGUAAUACGCAGGGGGCAAGCGUUAUCCGGAAUUACUGGGUGUAAAGGGAGCGUAGACGGUUAAGUAAGGCUGGAGUGAAAGGCCGGGGCCCAACCCCGGGACUGCUCUGGAAACUAUUGAACUUGAGUGCGGGAGAGGUAAGCGGAAUGCGUGGUGUAGCGGUGAAAUGCGUAGAUAUUAGGAGGAACACCAGUGGCGAAGGCGGCUUACUGGAGUGUAACUGACGUUGAGGCUCGAAAGCGUGGGGAGCGAACAGGAUUAGAUACCCUGGUAGUC
rnacentral:rRNA from 1 species